CUUGACUAUUCAUGCGUUACGAAAACAAUUACCCAUUAACACACCAUUAUCUUUUCUUUUUUUUUUUACACACCAUUAUCCAUUCAAAUGAUUUACUACAUAAACCUUAAAAAACCACCAGCGUUCUUGGAUUUUAGUUGGUGCAUGACAUAUUUGGAGACAAACAGCAUCUAUCAGUUUGAGAAACCAAGGGGUCUUGGUAUUCCUAUUUGAGGAAUGAGGCUACGAGUGGGACGGGCUCCUCUCUGUGUAACUAUGGCAGGCACAUGUAGUUAGUGUCUGUCAUGUUUAAGGGAAAAAACCAACUCAGAACACAGUCAACGAUAUGUUUGUGGCUCUGUAUCUCUCUGCAAAAAUGAAAAAGGAAAUAAGCAACAAGAUUUCAUAUGCCUGUUACGUGCUUCAAAUGCUCCGUGUUCAUUGUCCCAUUUUCGUUGUCUUGAUCAACAAAAAACAUGGAAGUUACAGGUACAUUAUUACUUCUGGAACUUUGGUCGUAUAUGCACGGCGAUUCAAUUUUCGAGUACUAUUACACAAUGCUAUAUAAAUUACUAGCGAUCGGAAAACCUGAGGUUACAUCACAUUACUGCUACAAAAUAGGCUUGGUAGACUUAUUUAUAUAGGUUGUUUAAAAUCCAAAUUUACCAUCCUUUCCUGAUUCAAAUGUUAACUUUUUAGCACAGUUAGUCUCUACAGUGAAUUUUUUUGAGGUGAUCAACAAGAUGAGAAAUAAACCAAUUAUAAUGAUAGGAAUAAUGUAUGCUAACUUAGUGAUGGGUACAUGGUACAAUAGGAGGACUGAAUCUGCAUCAUGGGUAGAUGGUAAUUUGGUUCCUACUGCUGUUACAUUGAUUAAGAAAAUGUUGGAAUUGGUGACUGACUAUGGUGUUGACCCUUGUGUGGCUGGUGUUGACCCUUGUGUGACUGACUAUGGUGUUGACCCUUGUGUGGCCAGUAGUGUUCUGAAGGGAAUCGAACGGCCAGUACCUUACGUUCUUAGCACCAGGAUUGGGAAGGGCAGAAAUGGUCCCCAUGAUCCCUCUCACGCGGUGUAACUUCGGUCUUUUUUGUCGGUAGGUUAAUCAUUUUCGUAUAAAAAAACAUUUAAAGGGGUGACAUUGGUUUAUAAUAGGGUGUUCCUUUAUAUACCCUUAGAAAACACUAAUAGUACCCCUUUAUCUAUGUACCCUGAAAACGCAUCUUCCUACCCCAUCAUACUUGUUAACUCUGUAUACCCCCGACCGAGAUACAAACAGAAGACCAUCGAUAUAACUCUAAUGCUAUGUUUUCAUUUUUCUGUAACUCGUAUUGGAUUGAGUAGAUAGAUCAUUACUUUAAUUUGGGAGGAAGACUAAACAAUGAAAGAAACAAUAUCGAUCACCCUAGAUAAUAAAAAAUAAUACCGUAAAAAUUAAAAAAAUCACCCUAGAAUUCUGAUUGUACUUAUUGAGAUUUGAAGCGGGUUUGAUAGAUUUGAUACUGGAAACUUGUUUUACGGUAAAAAGGUUGCUGGGAUAGAAUACAAAUCUGUUAGAUCUAUCGUCAGGUUAAUUUGUCUUCGCUAUGGAUCGGAAUGGAAAAGAACAUCCAUUCAUUUUAAGAAAAACAGAGAUGGGUUCGUCUCCUGUUGCUCUUCCACCGCCCACUGAUGACAAUUAAUCAUCUUCACCACCAUUUCCACCACUGCAACAACAAUGACAACAAAGAAAGAGACAUAGAAAGCAAUACCCUGUACUGCAACAACAAUGACAACAAAGAAAGAGACAUAGAAAGCAAUACCCUGCACUGCAACAACAAUGACAACAAAGAAAGAGACAUAGAAAGCAAUACCCUGGUGAAGACGUAGGUAUUAUGAAGAAAUUAGAUUCGUUGCCAUGAAACUCCAUAACAAUCAACAACAAUACCAGCGAUAAAGAUAGGACGGUAAUGAAUCAGAAGAAGAAAGGGACUCGACCAACGAGGAGGCUAAGAUACCGAAGUUAUUGUUGCUAAUCAACUGCUUGUCAGUGAUUAUUGUUUAGUUAGAAUGCAGAUUCUCCAUUAGAAUUUAGAACUUACGCAAAAAAAUUCUAUGUUGGAUCCUCGCCAUCGUUUAGGAUUUUUUUUAGCUACGGAAGUUGGGGGUAUCUGUAUCAAUAUUUCCAAAAAAAUUCUCGAUUUUUGAGUUAACCGGAUUAUAACUAACAUAACUAACGAAAGGGAUACCACUAACAUUUCCGAGGGGUAUAUAAAGGAACGUCCUUAUAAUAACAUUUGCACAUUUUAAAAGAACAUACUGUUACAAUGACCAAGUCCCGGGCCGUUACGGCACGGGUCAUAUUCUAGUUAUAGAUACUUGAAGUUGGUCUUUUCAUCUUCCUUUCGACUUCUACUUUGAUUUGUCUGUCAAAUGGAAGCAAAGCUCGCUUACACUUAAUUCAUGUCAAUAUGUACAAAUCUAACAAUGUAAUUCCUGUUAACAACAUAUUCAUAAAUAAAUUUUAUUUAUGUCCAUUAUUUCAUAUAUAUAACUAAAAACUAAAAAUUGAAUGUAAACUACCAAUUUUUGAAAAGGAAUGUAUUUGUAGUCUUCCAUCAUCGUUCUAAUAUAACUUGAAUAAUUUGAGUCAUAUGAAUUAUAAGCUUUAUAAAAUAUAAAUGCCAUCAAGGAUUUCGUAGGACUCUAUCUUUAACAAAAGGGGAAAAGUACUCCAGCACCAUUUGGAACUCAGACCAUCCACCUCUUAAUUGACUGAAUUUAUUCACUCCAGAUGGCUAGAUAUAUGUACAUGGAGUGUACCAUGACCAACUUGUUAUCUACAUUUUGAAAUUCAUAUUUUUUAUUAUUUUCAUAG